rnacentral:lncRNA from 1 species
GGGGAAAUGAUUAUGAAAUCCUGCCACAUUCAAUGGUAGGGUGUAUUAACUGCAAUUUGUCAUUCAUCUAUACUUAAAGUUUAGUUGCUUGCAUAUGUUUCUAAGUGCAUUCACAAGCUGUCUCAUAAUAAAGCCAUGGAGACGUAGGUAAUGUAGAGUUUAAUGGCUAUUGCCUUGAUUCAGAAAGGUGAGAGAGUCACAGCUUUGCAGAGUAACCCAGAAUAAGUUGUUACAUUUCUCCAAGCUUAUUUAGUAAUUUACAAACUAACCCUCUGCCCUCCUUUCUCUUCAGGUGAACCACAAAUAUCUAACUGUUUUCCACAUGAAGAUGUAUCUGUCCCAGAGCUGAACAUGCACCUGGAGCCAGAGGACUCUAAGGAGCUGGUUUUGAAGAAGAAGCUUUGCCUCCUUUUCCCUGCCUACUUUUGGACCCAGGGCCACAGGCCCACUGACCCUCUUAAUGGGCAGAGGAACCACUGGGAGGAAGCUGGCUUGGAGAAAACUGAGGCUCAAUGUCCUUUAAGCUGAGAAUGGACAAUUUGCUGCUCUAUCAACAAAGGAUGCCACAGCUGUCUAGCCAUCAGCCAAUACUGUGGCCUGGUUGGUGAACCCUGAGGGACUCCAGUAUGGAGACCAGUGGGAGGACUAUUGCCAAGCCUUCAUCCACUACAGACUCUCCCAGUGGUGCAUCCUGAGGGGAUUCAGGAUGAAAAAGAACAAGAUACUGGCAUUGGAUAGCUAAGCUGCAUAGCAAAUGAAUGAUUUCAUUGAGCCCAGAUUCUUGCUUCUUCUGCUACAAGAAAAAAGCUAAAUUCAUUCAUGUGAGAUGAUUGCUUUUCUCUAAUAGUAACCUUUUGAUGUUCUGACUACCUGCUUUUGUUGCAAAAUUCUUGUAUAUCCUUCAGAACAGUACCUCAGAGCUAUCUCAGAGGCUGUCUCCUGGGCUUGAGCCCCCAAAAGUCUGCUGAAUAAAAGAAUUCUCAACUUAAAUAAAUAAAUAAUAAGAAAAAAAACCUGUGAAAAAUACAAAUAUGUGGAGGCUAAACAAUACGCUAGCAAACAACCAAUGGAUCACUGAAGAAAUUCAAAAGAAAAAAAAAAAAAAACCUAGAGACAGAUGAAAAUCAAAGCACAAUGGUCCAAAACCUAUGGGACUCAGCAGAAGCAGUUCUAACAGGGAAGUUUACAGUGAUAUAGCGUUAUCUCAGCGAAAAGAAAAAUCUCAAACAACCUAAUCUUACACCAAAACAACUAGAGAAAAACAAACAAAACCCAAAGUUAGUAGACAGAAAGAAAUCAUAACGAUAAGAGCAGAAAUAAAUGAAAUAUAGAGAUGAAGAAAACACUAGAAAAGACUAACGAAACUGAAAGCUUGUUCUUGAAAAAAUAAACAAAAUUGAUAAACUUUAAAUCAGACUCAUCAAGAAAAAGUGGGAGAGGGCUCAAAUCAAAAAAAUUGGAAAUGAAAAAAACGUUACAACAGACACCACAGAAAUGCAAAAGAUCAUAAGAGACUACUACAAGUAACUCUAUGCCCCAAAAUAUAGACAAUCUAGAAGAAACAAAUUCUUAGAAAUGUAUAAACUUCUAAGACUGGACCCACAAGAAAUAAAAAAUAUGAACAAACCAAUUAUAAGUACUGACAUUGAAAUGGUGAUUUAAAAAGUCCCAAAAAUAAAAACCCAAGACCAGAUGGUUUCACAGGCAGAAUCUAUUAAACAUUUAGAGAAGAAUUAAUACCUAUCCUUUGAAAAUUUUCCAAAAAAUUUCAAAGACAGGAACACUCCCCAAAGUUAUUCUAUGAGGCCUCCGCCAGCCUGAUUCUAAAACUAGACAAAGACAGCACAAAAAGAGAAAAUUAUAAGCCAGUAUCACUGAUGAAUACGAUGCAAAAAUUAUCAACAAAUGCUAGCAAUCCAAAUCCAACAAUAUUUUAAAAUGAUCAUAAACCAUGAUCAAGUGGGAUUUAUCCCAGGGAUACAAGGAUUUUUUUUAGUAUCUGCAAAUCAAUCAGUAUGAUACAACACAUCAAUAAAUUGAAGAAUAAAAACCAUAUGAUAUCUCAAUAGAUGCAGAAAAUUUUUUAA